rnacentral:misc_RNA from 1 species
AAUUCUCAACCUCUCUAGUUUUUACGAACUAGUAGAUGGCUUGGAUGUGGGGGUUUUUGCAGGCUUUCACAAGUCAGCUCCCCUUAAAUGUAUUAGCCGGUAUUAUCUGACCGUCUAUUGGUGUGAUAAUUAUCUACAUCGUAGACUUCAAAUUAUACUGCUUAUAAUCGUCCUGUAUAGGACAAUCUAUGACA